CCCCCGCCCGUAUAUACUAUAGUUUAGUUUUUUCUCCUUGAUUGCCUCUGCCUGGUUCUAUCUUUCUUUGUUCUCUUUUUCCUCCCUCCCUCCCCCACCCCCACCCGUCUCUCACGAUCACAUUGAACUCUUCUUUUAUGCCAUCUUUUGUAUUUCAUCUUGAUCGACCUUUUUUGUGGGUUUUUUCCAUUGAUUUUUCCAAGUUGGAUUUGAAUGUUUUAUUAAGUUGGGUUUUUAUCACCGCUCCCUAUUGAUUCAAGUCCCUACUUUCCCUCCCUCUCCCCCUCCCCUCGCUCUCUCCACCAUACAGUUUUCUUUCUCUCUCCAGACAUUUUGUUUCAACUAUUCCCCCCCCCUCCCUCUGGCCCUCUGUGCUAAGUGUUCUUGUGAAGCAGAGGGGUUCUGUACAUUUGAAUGUACCAUACAGAAGCUGUUCAACUCGGACUACGUGCUUACCUGCCAUUGUCAUUGUGCAGACAGGGUCGUCAUGUGGGCCUGCGGUCCUCUGGGUUUCAGUGUGAACUUGUGUAAGGGCGUAAUGUUGUGCUCGGGUCAUCUGGAAGUGUAGACAAGCUAUUGGGUCGUUUGCAUGGAUACCUGCAAGAUUCCGCUUUUUUUGGUUUAUUUCUUUUGCUGUUUAAAAAACGAGCCAACAAACGACGACAACAGUCGAGUGAGAAGAUCACUAGCCGGGCGUGAGCUGCGGGAACGGUCUGCGUCUGUUUCCAGUCAUAUUAUAGCGCCGUGUUUAAAAAAAAAAAAGAAGGGUUUUGUUUGAUCCGUGUUGUUUGAACAGGGUCCUCUCGCCCAUGUGGUAAAGGAGAGGCUGCUUUUUCGCGAUGCAGUGCGGAGCUCCUCUCCCCAGCCGGUCGUUCACUGGGGCCUCGAUCAGACCCGUAGGACUCCCACAGAGCACGCAUCUUGCACCGAAGAAGAACUCAGUACAGCGCCGUCAACACUUUUUUUUUUUUUUGGUACAAUCACACAUUUUAGAUUGGUAAGGGAGGUAAACACCCCUCUUAGAGCCACCGUCACACUAACGCGGUUAAUCGGGAGACACUAAAACGCAGCGUUUAAUAACUUGUAUUUCUUCCUUGUUUUUAUUUUGGCUACUAAGUCCUUAUUCUGCUCGUGAUCCACACACGCACCUCGGCGGGGUGCUGGUGGCGGGCAGCGCUUGCUUGUGUGCAACCUUCACCUUACUGGGGGAGGGUACUCUAAAUUCCGCAGCUGCAGUCACGGAGAAAGUGUCGAGCUGGCACUUUGUGUGAUAAAACCAACUCACCUGGCUCCCGGACUCUGUGGCCUCCGCCCCGACCCUAGCCUCUCAUGCCACCCCUUCGUCUCCCCCCCCCCCCCCACACCCACUCUCCCUCCCUCCGUCAUGUUUCCAUCCUGUAUCUGCACUAGUAUGAAGUGUACCAUAGCGCGGUGGUUAGGAUGGAUGGAAAAAAAUAAUAUAAAAAUAACACCAAAAAAAAAAACAAGGACAGGACAAUGCCAGACAGGACUGCAGAUGGUACUCAGCGAAAACACAUAGAGUUGACUUUCAUUACAAUAUGUGCUGAGGUUUUUUUUUGUCGAGGUUUUUUAGGUCCGCAGUUUAUUUUGGGAAAACUAUUCUCUCCAUGUCUGUUUUUAGUCAUAGCAAGAACAAAACCAGGAACCCAUUCGGAAAAUUAUGUCAAACAUCUGCCCCUCCCAAGUACAUUUCUCCCUCUUCCCCCGUUGAAUUCAGGUGUAAAAGAACCUUUGUACAUAUAAACCGUGUGAAACGAACACAGCUGACCAGCAGCUGUCGUGUGAGAUCCGGUGGCUGGCUGGUGCUGAACAGACGGACAAAGCACAAGCAGUAACGGCGACACUGAGCUUCGCCUGUGACCCACUUCCUUCACGUCGGCCGGCUUUUUAUUUUGACGCUUUAGCUGUUGGUAACAGAUACUGGCUCAGAGUUGAUCAGCUAUUAUCCAUGCAGUACACCUUUUGAAGGGGUGGUCACACGCCCAAUAUAUACACUUGUGUUCCUCUGAGCACAUUCCAGAUCUGUAUACAAACACACACGCCCAAAUCAGUCCCCAACACCUCUGUUUUGGUGGGUUUCCACUGUGAUGGAGACUUUCAUUCCUCCAUGUCAAAAACAAUCCCCUGAUUUGAGAAGAUUCUGAAUACAAAGCAUUUUACUUCCGGGUCAUCAUUGGACCUCAUUUUGAUGAAUUAGGAAAGAAAUUGAGGACGGGAUCGUCAGCUCAGACGAAUGUUAGGUCUGUGGACCAAAGGGUAGGCGGUCAUGCAACAAACCUCUUCUUCAAAGGUCCGACGAUGAGGACGACUUCUGUUUUUGGGACUUCUCGCAGUAUAUGACGCUCCUUUUGCGGUGUACGUUUUGUGUGUAUACAAAAAAAAAAAAAAGUGUUAAAAGCUGUUUUAGGUUCAGUCAUGGAUGAAAAAGAAAAUACAACACGAGAUGCAUUGCUGUUACUGAAUCGUACUCCUAAUAAUAUGCUCUAUCUGGCCUGUGAAUACCGCUAGUCAAAUAUCACCGCCAUCCAGCCGCUACCGUAUGUAUCUAGGUACGUACUGCGCUUGUUGACACACACACACACACACACACACACACACACACACACACACACACACACACACACACACACACACACACACACACACACACACACACACACACACACACCACACACACACACACACACACACACACACAGUGCAUGUCUUCAAUAUAGGGACCUUUAUAGAUCGAAUUCUUUCUAGCGAAAGGCGUGUUAUUUCAAAAGGAUGUUUCAUUCAAACUCUGACCAAAUGCACUUAUGUUUCUUUUCUUUUUUUCAUUUUGUUUCUUUUCUAUAUUAAACGCUAUGACUAGGAACAAAAUGAUGUUUUUGUUAAAGGAAUCCAAUACAAAUUCAAUUCUAUGUAUUUGUUUGAGUGUAGACCAGGGUUGUCGACGAUUCUGUACCGGCACCGCGCAUAGAAAGCUUUAUGUGUAUACGGCUGCAUCUUCUCUGCCUCCAGCCCGGAGGAUUGUUGUGCUAUUGUGUUACAGUACCUGACGUGACACCAGGUCGGCGGGGUGGGGGGGGCUGAUGGUGGAGGCUGCAUUAAGGUGGACCUCUGCCCUUGACCCCCUCACUUCCCCUGUCCUGUGGCUCCAGCCCCCCCCCCC
ensembl:lncRNA